rnacentral:rRNA from 1 species
UACGUAGGUGGCAAGCGUUAUCCGGAAUUAUUGGGCGUAAAGAGCGCGCAGGUGGUUGAUUAAGUCUGAUGUGAAAGCCCACGGCUUAACCGUGGAGGGUCAUUGGAAACUGGUCGACUUGAGUGCAGAAGAGGGAAGUGGAAUUCCAUGUGUAGCGGUGAAAUGCGUAGAGAUAUGGAGGAACACCAGUGGCGAAGGCGGCUUCCUGGUCUGAUACUGACACUGAGGUGCGAAAGCGUGGGGAGCAAACAGGAUUAGAUA